CGGGACGUGGCGCAGUUUGGUAGCGCACUUGCUUCGGGAGCAAGGUGUCGCUGGUUCAAAUCCAGUCGUCCCGA
rnacentral:tRNA from 1 species